rnacentral:rRNA from 1 species
AGUAACACGUGGGUAACCUGCCUUAUAGUGGGGGAUAGCCUUUCGAAAGGAAGAUUAAUACCGCAUAAGAUUGUAGUAUCGCAUGAUAUAGCAAUUAAAGGAGCAAUUCGCUAUAAGAUGGACCCGCGUCGCAUUAGCUAGUUGGUGAGGUAAUGGCUCACCAAGGCGACGAUGCGUAGCCGACCUGAGAGGGUGAUCGGCCACAUUGGGACUGAGACACGGCCCAGACUCCUACGGGAGGCAACAUG